AUACGUAGGGUGCGAGCGUUGUCCGGAAUUACUGGGCGUAAAGAGCUCGUAGGUGGUUUGUCGCGUCGUCUGUGAAAUUCCGGGGCUUAACUCCGGGCGUGCAGGCGAUACGGGCAUAACUUGAGUACUGUAGGGGAGACUGGAAUUCCUGGUGUAGCGGUGAAAUGCGCAGAUAUCAGGAGGAACACCGGUGGCGAAGGCGGGUCUCUGGGCAGUAACUGACGCUGAGGAGCGAAAGCAUGGGUAGCGAACAGGAUUAGAUACCCUGGUAGUCCAUGCCGUAAACGGUGGGCGCUAGGUGUAGGGGUCUUCCGCGACUUCUGUGCCGUAGCUAACGCAUUAAGCGCCCCGCCUGGGGAGUACGGCCGCAAGGCUAAAACUCAAAUGAAUUGACGGGG
rnacentral:rRNA from 1 species